GGACACGAAACCAAACAAAACAAAACGCUAGACACAAGAAUCCAACCGGCACCAUCUGAGCAAGUACCAGCGCGCCCGUGACGAGCCCUGCCCCUGCGCACGGCGCCGCGCCGUCCGAGCCUCUCGGUCGGUCCUCGACCUCGAGCUCGAGGAGGGAAGGAAACCCCGUCGUCUUCGCGCCAUCGCGUGUGCGGACCCGCCGCCCCGCGCCAAAGGGAGGUCACGCGACCGCCUGCGCGCCUUGUCUCCUUGCCCCCGGUUUAUUUGUCCCCGAACGCUCACAACUUCGCGCUCGUCUGCGUUUGCCAUUUCUGUGCAAGGUAGCUUGCACCCAUCGUGAAGCCGAGGGAGCGGCGACACAUUGGUACCUGCUGUGCUGCAGUGCUCUCGUCCUGGUCGGAGAUGGACGCUGAGGCCGGCGAGGCGGGGGUGCAGCAGCCGGCCGGGGCGGCGUCCACGAGCACCGCGGCGGUGCCGUUCGACAGGUCGUCGUCGCGGCUAGGCGCGCCGGGUGCCGAGAGCUUCGACGGCGCGCUCAGGGAGCUCAAGGAUCUGCGGUCUCAGCUGCACGAAGCGGCGGACUGCUGCGCCAAGGCGUUCCUCAGCACCGACAAGAAGAAGAUGAUUCUGGAGGGUACAAAGGGUUACAUAUGCGAUGCGGUGGUAGCUGUGAUCGAUCACCUGGGGACAGUUUCGUCCAAGCUUGAGCACAAGCUGCAGGAGAGGACUGAAGUCGCACAGACGGAACGAAAGAUCAACUUCUUGAAACAGAGGCUUUUGACAUGCGAGCAGUACGCCGUUUCUCUGAAGCUUUUGUCUGUACGAGGGGACCCUGACGCCAUUCGAUAUCAUCGCCGUUACAUCUCACAAUCUACUCAAAUGUCCAAACUGGGAAACGGAAUCGGCUCGAGUGAAAAUGGUCCACGACUUCCGCAAAUUACUGGCUCAACAGUAUCUGGAGCUACCCUCACUCUCAAGCCAUAUGAUGUUCAACCAGCCAUCGGAAAAGAACAUACCGUGGUAUCAGAAAACGUUGAGGACAACCCAAGGACCAUAAGAAGGUCAUUCUCUUUUAGAGCAGAGGAUGUUCACGUUGUUCUAGGCGAUCACAAAAAGAAGGGCAACCAUGGGAGUAACAUCUUGUCAUUUCUCAAGAAAACCAGGCGAUAAGCAUAAGAACUUUGCUAAAGAAAUAAACAUAAGAAUCAAUGCACCAACGGGAUAGAGUGGAACUGUAGAGGAGUACCUUUUCCCCCCUUUGGAUAGUCUUUUCUUUCGUGGUACUAUUGGUCCUACCGGUCAUGCAGCGCUUUCACUGUUUCGCAAUAAGUACUGAUAUACUGAAAGCAUUUCUUCAAUGAUAUGUCUAGGGGUACCAAGAUCAACCUUUAUGAAGAAGGACAUGUACGGAUGAGCCUAUGGGCUUGGCCGAGAGCCCAAAGACUCGAUGAUCAAGACUAGAAGGAGGCCUGAAGUGACAAGGAUUUCAGAAGCGUAUAUAUGGAAAAGAUCUUAUCAAAAUAGAAGAUAUGCCAAAUGUUCUAACACUUGUAACGAUAUAGUUCGAUUCACAUACAAAUUUGGGACCAACUCGGUCACAUGUUCAACUAGGUACCGAGUCUGUGUCUAUCCUAUAACUGAUGUCGCUCCUUAGACUAUAAAGGAGGGUCAAUGAGUGAUUACGGGCCUGUUUGGUUCACUA